rnacentral:lncRNA from 1 species
GCUUCUGGCCAUUAGACCUACCACCUCAAUUAAUGAGGGAGAUCCGAUGGCCCUUAUUUUUUUUUAUUUUCUUUUUAAUUUCAGAUUUUAUGUUUAAUUGCUUUAUUUUGUUUAAUUCAUAAUAAUUUCAUUUUUAAUCCAAAAAAUAUGUGACUUUCACCAAAAAUCUUUAAAUAUUUUUCUCUUUCAUUUUCUGAAUUAAAAAUAUUUUUUGGAUUAAUU